CUACGGGAGGCUCCAGGCGAGAAAACUUUGCAAUGUGCGAAAGCACGACAAGGUUAAUCCGAGUGGUUUCUGCUAAAGGAACCUUUUGUCAGUCCUAGAAACACUGAUGAAUAAGGGGUGGGCAAGUUCUGGUGUCAGCCGCCGCGGUAAAACCAGCACCUCAAGUGGUCAGGAUGAUUAUUGGGCCUAAAGCAUCCGUAGCCGGCUCUGUAAGUUUUCGGUUAAAUCUGUACGCUCAACGUACAGGCUGCCGGGAAUACUGCAGAGCUAGGGAGUGGGAGAGGUAGGCGGUACUCGGUAGGAAGGGGUAAAAUCCUUUGAUCUAUUGAUGACCACCUGUGGCGAAGGCGGUCUACCAGAACACGUCCGACAGUGAGGGAUGAAAGCUGGGGGAGCAAACCGGAUUAGAUACCCUUGUAGUC
rnacentral:rRNA from 1 species